AUUCUUAGUGGCGGACGGGUUAGUAACACGUGAGAAUCCUACCCUUAAGUGGGGAAUAGCCUUUCGAAAGGAAGAUUAAUGCCCCAUGGUCUCUACGGAGUAAAGAUGCCUUCGGGUGUCGCUUAAGGAUGGGCUCGCGGCCUAUCAGCUAGUUGGUGAGGUAAGAGCUCACCAAGGCAACGACGGGUAGCUGGUCUGAGAGGACGAUCAGCAACACUGGAACUGAGACACGGUCCAGACACCUACGGGUGGCAGCAGUCGAGAAUCAUUCACAAUGGACGAAAGUCUGAUGGUGCAACGCCGCGUGGAGGAUGACGGCCCUAGGGUUGUAAACUCCUGUCAUCAGGGAGUAAGACUUAUUCGUUAAUAGCGUGUAAGUUUGAUAGUACCUGAAGAGGAAGGGACGGCUAACUUCGUGCCAGCAGCCGCGGUAAUACGAAGGUCCCAAGCGUUGUUCGGAAUAACUGGGCGUAAAGCGUGUGUAGGCCGCGCGGAAAGUCGGAUGUGAAA
rnacentral:rRNA from 1 species